UACGUAGGUGGCAAGCGUUGUCCGGAUUUACUGGGCGUAAAGAGCGCGCAGGCGGUCGUCCAAGUCGCGUGUGAAAGCCCCCGGCUCAACUGGGGAGGGUCACGCGAUACUGGUCGACUCGAAGGCAGGAGAGGGUAGUGGAAUUCCCGGUGUAGUGGUGAAAUGCGUAGAUAUCUGGAGGAAUACCGGUGGCGAAGGCGACUACCUGGCCUGUUCUUGACGCUGAGGCGCGAAAGCUAGGGGAGCAAACGGG
rnacentral:rRNA from 1 species